rnacentral:rRNA from 1 species
AUUGAACGCUGGCGGCAGGCCUAACACAUGCAAGUCGAACGGUAACAGGAAGAAGCUUGCUUCUUUGCUUACGAGUGGCGGACGGGUGAGUAAUGUCUGGGAAACUGCCUGAUGGAGGGGGAUAACUACUGGAAACGGUAGCUAAUACCGCAUAACGUCGCAAGACCAAAGAGGGGGACCUUCGGGCCUCUUGCCAUCGGAUGUGCCCAGAUGGGAUUAGCUAGUAGGUGGGGUAACGGCUCACCUAGGCGACGAUCCCUAGCUGGUCUGAGAGGAUGACCAGCCACACGGGAACUGAAAAACGGUCCAGACUCCUACGGGAGGCAGAGUGGGGAAAAUUUGAAAAAUGGCGCAAGCCUGAUGCAGCCAUGCCGCGUGUAUGAAGAAGGCCUUCGGGUUGUAAAGUACUUUCAGCGGGGAGGAAGGGAGUAAAGUUAAUACCUUUGCUCAUUGACGUUACCCGCAGAAGAAGCACCGGCUAACUCCGUG